GCACUGCUGACGAGUCGCAAACGGGACGAAACGGCUGUCCAGUGC
rnacentral:hammerhead_ribozyme from 1 species